rnacentral:rRNA from 1 species
UACGGAGGAUCCAAGCGUUAUCCGGAUUUAUUGGGUUUAAAGGGUGCGUAAGUGGCCUGUUAAGUCAGGGUGAAAGACGGUAGCUUAACUAUCGCAGUGCCCUUGAUACUGAUGGGCUUGAAUACACUAGAGGUAGGCGGAAUGUGACAAGUAGCGGUGAAAUGCAUAGAUAUGUCACAGAACACCAAUUGCGAAGGCAGCUUACUAUGGUGUUAUUGACACUGAGGCACGAAAGCGUGGGGAUCAAACAGG